AGAGUUUGAUCAUGGCUCAGAUUGAACGCUGGCGGAAUGCUUUACACAUGCAAGUCGAACGGCAGCACGGGGGCAACCCUGGUGGCGAGUGGCGAACGGGUGAGUAAUACAUCGGAACGUGCCCAGUCGUGGGGGAUAACUACGCGAAAGCGUAGCUAAUACCGCAUACGAUCUACGGAUGAAAGCGGGGGAUCGCAAGACCUCGCGCGAUUGGAGCGGCCGAUGGCAGAUUAGGUAGUUAGUGGGGUAAAGGCUCACCAAGCCUGCGAUCUGUAGCUGGUCUGAGAGGACGACCAGCCACACUGGGACUGAGACACGGCCCAGACUCCUACGGGAGGCAGCAGUGGGGAAUUUUGGACAAUGGGCGCAAGCCUGAUCCAGCCAUUCCGCGUGCAGGAUGAAGGCCUUCGGGUUGUAAACUGCUUUUGUACGGAACGAAAAGGCUCUCUCUAAUACAGGGGGCUCAUGACGGUACCGUAAGAAUAAGCACCGGCUAACUACGUGCCAGCAGCCGCGGUAAUACGUAGGGUGCAAGCGUUAAUCGGAAUUACUGGGCGUAAAGCGUGCGCAGGCGGUGAUGUAAGACAGUUGUGAAAUCCCCGGGCUCAACCUGGGAACUGCAUCUGUGACUGCAUCGCUGGAGUGCGGCAGAGGGGGAUGGAAUUCCGCGUGUA
rnacentral:rRNA from 1 species